rnacentral:rRNA from 1 species
AUGUCUUCCAGCAGGUUCUCGCCGGCGCUGCAGGCGUCGGACCUCAACGACUUCAUCGCCCCCUCGCAGGACUGCGUCGUCUCCCUCAACAAGAACUCCGCCGCCAGCCGCCUCCCGAUUAAAAAAAAGCAAGUUGUGGUGAGUACAAAACCUCCAGAAGAAUCGGUCAAGAUUUCUCUCAAGGACUGUUUGGCUUGCAGUGGUUGCAUAACAUCAGCAGAGACAGUUAUGCUUGAGAAGCAAAGCUUGGAUGACUUCGUUACUCGCACCAACUCCGGCAAAACCGUCAUCGUAUCUGUAUCUCCCCAGUCAAGAGCAUCAUUAGCUGCAUUCUUUGGUCUUUCUCAGUCACAGGUUUUCCGAAAACUAACUGCUCUGUUCAAGUCGAUGGGCGUGAAGGCAGUGUAUGAUACAAGUAGUAGUCGAGAUCUGGCCCUAAUUGAAGCAUGCAAUGAAUUUAUUUCACGCUAUAAGCUGAGUCAAUUGUCUAGCGACAAAGAAGUUGGAACCAGUCUUUCUGUGCUUUCAUCUGCAUGUCCAGGCUGGAUAUGCUAUGCUGAAAAGACUCUUGGUUCAUAUAUCUUGCCCUACAUCUCAUCUGUAAAGAGUCCCCAACAAGUGAUUGGUGCAGCUAUCAAGCAUCACAUGGUUGAAAAACUUGGUCUCAAGCCGUAUGAUGUAUAUCAUGUUACUGUGAUGCCCUGUUAUGAUAAAAAACUUGAAGCUGUCCGGGGCGACUUUGUUUUCUCAGUGGAAGAAAAGGAAGUUACAGAGGUGGACUCGGUAUUGACAACUGGUGAAGUGUUGGACUUGAUACAGUCCAAAUCUGUUGAUUUCAAGACAAUGGAGGAAUCUCCUUUGGACAGAUUAUUAACAAAUGUUGAUGAUGAUGGUCAUCUAUAUGGGGUUUCUGGUGGCUCGGGUGGUUAUGCGGAAACCAUCUUUCGUUAUGCAGCACGUGCGCUCUUUAAUAGGGAAAUAGAAGGCCCACUUGAUUUCAAAAUCUUGCGAAAUUCAGAUUUCCGUGAAGUUACGCUGGAGGUGGAGGGCAGUCCUGUUUUGAAGUUUGCCCUUUGUUACGGGUUCAGAAACCUACAGAACAUUGUUAGGAAGGUUAAGAUGGGAAAAUGUGAAUACCAGUUUAUUGAGGUUAUGGCUUGCCCUUCAGGUUGUCUGAAUGGGGGAGGCCAAAUAAAACCUGCUAAAGGCCAAUCUCCCAAGGAUCUCAUCCAACAACUAGAGAGUGUGUACACGCAAGAUGUAUCAGUAUCCAACCCCUUUGAUAACCCGAUUGCGAAAAGAUUAUACGAUGAUUGGCUCGUCCAACCCGGUUCAGACAAUGCAAAGAGGUACUUGCACACGCAGUAUCACCCCGUGGUGAAAAGCGUCACUUCGCAGCUGCAAAACUGGUGA